rnacentral:rRNA from 1 species
UGGCGGCAGGCCUAAUACAUGCAAGUCGAGCGCGCCCUUCGGGGUGAGCGGCGGACGGGUGAGUAACGCGUGGGAAUAUGCCCUUCUCUAAGGAAUAGCCUCUGGAAACGGAGAGUAAUACCUUAUACGCCCUUUGGGGGAAAGAUUUAUCGGAGAGGGAUUAGCCCGCGUUAGAUUAGGUAGUUGGUGGGGUAAUGGCCUACCAAGCCUACGAUCUAUAGCUGGUUUGAGAGGAUGAUCAGCCACACUGGGACUGAGACACGGCCCAGACUCCUACGGGAGGCAGCAGUAGGGAAUCUUAGACAAUGGGGGAAACCCUGAUCUAGCCAUGCCGCGUGUGUGAUGAAGGCCCUAGGGUCGUAAAGCACUUUCGCCAGAGAUGAUAAUGACAGUAUCUGGUAAAGAAACCCCGGCUAACUCCGUGCCAGCAGCCGCGGUAAUACGGAGGGGGUUAGCGUUGUUCGGAAUUACUGGGCGUAAAGCGCACGUAGGCGGAUUAGUAAGUUAGUGGUGAAAUCCCAGGGCUCAACCCUGGAACUGCCUUUAAUACUGCUAGUCUUGAGUUCGAGAGAGGUAAGUGGAAUUCCGAGUGUAGAGGUGAAAUUCGUAGAUAUUCGGAGGAACACCAGUGGCGAAGGCGGCUUACUGGCUCGAUACUGACGCUGAGGUGCGAAAGUGUGGGGAGCAAACAGGAUUAGAUACCCUGGUAGUCCACACCGUAAACGAUGAAUGCCAGACGUCAGCAAGUAUACUUGUUGGUGUCACACCUAACGGAUUAAGCAUUCCGCCU